rnacentral:rRNA from 1 species
CCCUUAGAUGUUCUGGACUGCACACGCGCUACACUGGCAGGUUCAGCGAGCUUCUUGCCCUGAUCUGAGAAGAAUGGGAAACCUUUUCAACACCUGCCGUGCUUGGGAUAGAUGUUUGCAAUUAUUCAUCUUCAACAAGGAUUGCCUUGUAGGCGUGCCUCAUCAGGGCACAUCGAAUACGACCCUGUAUUCUGUACACACCGCCCGUCGCUCCUACCGAUUGAAGUUUUCGGUGAAUCUUUAGGACUGUGGCUGAGGCCUUGCCUUGUGCGGGUCUGGCCGUGGGAAUUUAGUUAAACCUUACCAUUUAGAGGAAGGUGAAGUCGUAACA